rnacentral:rRNA from 1 species
GAUGAACGCUGGCGGCGUGCCUAAUACAUGCAAGUAGAACGCUGAAGGAGGAGCUUGCUCUUCUGGAUGAGUUGCGAACGGGUGAGUAACGCGUAGGUAACCUCCCUGGUAGCGGGGGAUAACUAUUGGAAACGAUAGCUAAUACCGCAUGACAACAGUUAUUGCAUGAUAACUGUUUAAAAGGGGCAACUGCUCCACUACCAGAUGGACCUGCGUUGUAUUAGCUAGUUGGUGAGGUAACGGCUCACCAAGGCGACGAUACAUAGCCGACCUGAGAGGGUGAUCGGCCACACUGGGACUGAGACACGGCCCAGACUCCUACGGGAGGCAGCAGUAGGGAAUCUUCGGCAAUGGACGGAAGUCUGACCGAGCAACGCCGCGUGAGUGAAGAAGGUUUUCGGAUCGUAAAGCUCUGUUGUAAGAGAAGAACGAGUGUGAGAGUGGAAAGUUCACACUGUGACGGUAUCUUACCAGAAAGGGACGGCUAACUACGUG